UAACUGAAGAGUUUGAUCAUGGCUCAGAUUGAACGCUGGCGGCAGGCUUAACACAUGCAAGUCGAGCGGGGGAAGGUAGCUUGCUACUGGACCUAGCGGCGGACGGGUGAGUAAUGCUUAGGAAUCUGCCUAUUAGUGGGGGACAACAUCUCGAAAGGGAUGCUAAUACCGCAUACGUCCUACGGGAGAAAGCAGGGGAUCUUCGGACC
rnacentral:rRNA from 1 species